rnacentral:rRNA from 1 species
UACGGAGGGUGCAAGCGUUAAUCGGAAUUACUGGGCGUAAAGCGUGCGCAGGCGGUUUGUUAAGUCCGUUGUGAAAGCCCCGAGCUUAACUUGGGAAUUGCGCUCGAAACUACGUGGCUGGAGUGUGGCAGAGGAAGGUGGAAUUCCACGUGUAGCGGUGAAAUGCGUAGAGAUGUGGAGGAACACCAAUGGCGAAGGCAGCCUUCUGGGCCAACACUGACGCUCAUGCACGAAAGCGUGGGGAGCAAACAGG